rnacentral:tRNA from 1 species
AAGGCGUGUGCGGUGCGGUUGGAGGCCGUGCGGGGCUGAGGGCCCGGGGCUACCGCCGGGCCAGGUCCAGGGCCUCGCUCAGGUCGGGGAUGUCGUCCC